UUGGGCCCUUUCCUGGGCUUUCCCGAUCUCCUCUGCUGAUUGUCGGGCAAACGGACUCGGGUCCGCCCUUCUCCGCACUACCCUCAACCUUGCGGGUCUCGGGUUCCCCAUUUCGCCCCGAUCCGAGCUCCGGUUCGCCCGACCCAUGCGUAACGGUAAGUGGGUGUCGGUUCCUGCCUUCUCAGCAACACCCGCAACCCGGCGGGGCUUGGGUCCGCGUUUUACGCCCGAUCCGCCUACUACUUCCGCCCGAUCUCUUCUCCUCUCCGUCUCCGGCUAUGCCCUAAGUCGCCUCCGGUUCUACUCCGCCAGCGCCUGAGCCCUUUCGUAGUCGCUUUCCGCCGGAGUUCCACCCGCACAACCUCUCGCCGGAUCGCACCGCCGAGCUCGCUCCUCUCCACCCUGCCUACUGUUGCCCUUAUUCCUCGCUUAACUAGUAAAGCUACCACUUUUACUACUUCUCCUUUUAACUACUCUACUCCUUUAUUCUUCAGGUUGUUACACGCCACCACUCACCCGACCCGUUGACAGCCCCGAAACGUAACGAGGAACGAGGAAGACACGAGUCGGAGCCUCUCCUUCGUUCUCGUCCUCCGACGCCGACCACGACCGCGGCUCCAUGGGAGGAGCUCGUCGACCUCCACACCUCCUCCUCCCACUCCUCUUCGUCCUCAUCCUCACCCCAUCGGCCCCUCGCGCGCGCGCUCUCCUUGUAACCCAAUGGAGCUCCCUCCUCUCCCUCUCCCACUCCCUCCUCUCCCGCGUCGCCAACGCCCGCGCCGCGCGCGGCGACGUCGCCGGCGCCGCCCGCGCCCGCGCCAUCGCCGACCGACUCUCCCUCCUCGGCGUCGGCCGCGGCGCCUGGUCCCUCGGCCGGGACUUCCUCUGGAACUACGCCUUCCGCGGCGGCGGCGGCGGCGCCGAGGCCUCCCGCACCGCCUCCCGCGUCCUCGCCGCCCUCUCCGAAGCCUCCCGCAUCAAAUCGACCGCUGAAAUGAGGCGGUGGGUGCUGCGGAACUACCCGGAUCUCGUCGCCCUUUCCGAUUCCUUCAUCCAAACUCUUCUCCGCACCUUCUCUCGAUCCGGGCCGCUGAGGGAGGCGGUGUUGGUGCUACAGAGGGAGGUGGAGGAAGGUGAGCUUCUGAAGGAUUGCUUGGAGGUGGGGGCGCGAGACCUGGAGGGAUUGCUUCGAAUAGCCAAAGAUCUCUUCUUCUCCUACUCUUCCUCUAGUAUCGACAGCGACGACUUGUGAGAAGCAAUAUUUUGGAUCCAAAUGGAUUCAGCACACCAGUUCUAACCUUUCAAUUGGAGCUCGCUGCAAGAAUACCCUUUUGCUUCCACAGAAGUUUGGAGAUCUGAAGAUCUGCAGAACCUGCUCAAAAAUUGAAACAGUAGACGGCCUUAGAUAGGUGUCACACUGCUUCAUCUGAAAAGAACCAAAAAAACAAAAGCAGAAAGUUUAUACUUAAUUGUGGUGAAGAAUAGCGCACUCCGGCAUUUAUGGAAGGUGAAAGAGCGACCGUCAAAUCUGCGAUCAACACGCAUCAACGUUAGAGCGCUGCACAUGCUGCAAGGUGAGUGAGAAUGGUCUAUCAUUUCACCACCAUGUGGAAUGGUAAUAGAUAUGUGGAAUAGUAUAGAAAUAGUAAUUACUAUUUUACUCUUGCUGUAGUAAAAAGGGUGUGGAAAAUAUUAAACAACAUUAAAAGUGAGUGAGCACUUACUGCUGCAGUAAACGGUUAGCUAGUGGAUAUAUAAAGAGUACUUGCAUUUCUGCAAAUGCAUUAACUGCGUGAAGAAUUUGCAAGGCCACAUCAUGCAUCAGUCCUGACAAGCAGAUCGCCAUUUUUUCCUGCUCCAUUUUUGUUUUGCUUUCCAAGGCAGUAUUAAUGGUGGUUGGUUGGCCUCCUUAAAUAGCUGGUGCAAGUUGAUAGAUGCUCAUUGUAAUUUCCCCGUGCUGGAAAAAUUUGUCGGUGCAGGCCCUGUUUUGCAUGAACUUGUGUAGACCUACUGUUUCAAACGCGGAAAUAAAAAUGCUUUGUCGAUUCUCGAUUCUCUUUUA